rnacentral:misc_RNA from 1 species
AACACUGUUAACCUGCGGUACCUGCGGAAGGAUCAUUAUAGUAUAUGGAAUCUCCAUUCUAUAAACCCACUCUGCGUAUCUUGUAACUGUUGCUUCCAUGGGACUUGGUUCCGCCACACCGGCUUCGCGGCUGGUGAGCGCCCAUGGAAGGAGAAACAAAACUCUUCUUUGAAAUGUAGUCAGUCUGAACAAGUUUUUAUAAACGUUAAAACUUUCAACAAUGGAUCUCAGAUCGGAAGA